GCCAACGACUGACGCCGUGUCGAGCAUCCGGCGGAACCACGUGAUGAAUAAGAACACCCCGCACGCCUUGGACAAACCCUAGAUGCUUUUCCCUCACCCCUCGCCUCGCUCUCACCCUCAUAGUACCCCACCGCGCUGCAGCCGCCCUUGUUGUCGUCAUCGCCGCGGCCACCGACUUCCCCGGCGCCUCAAAAUCUGUCCAGGAGCUUCCCCACCUUCGUCUCCUUCGACUACGUCCACCAAAUCGAGUUGACCCGCCUCGUGUUCUCGGUAUCGAGCACAUCUUCGUCGCGUACAUCGCCGGUGCCGGCGUCGUUUGCCGCUGCUCCGUUCCGUCCCCCGCCUCCCCGUCCUCAUCAUCCAACUCGCGACACCGAGAUCGACGCCGCUGCUACCUAGUACGACUACGGUGUUGACGACCCCUCUCUCUUGCCAGAACAACCAGGAGCCAGACGCCACCAUCGACGAUGACUACUACUACUCAGGAGGUGCCUACUACUACGUGCAGCCCGUUGACGACGACCUGGAGUAGUUUAGGUGGAUCCCAG
rnacentral:rRNA from 1 species